rnacentral:rRNA from 1 species
UGGGGAAUCUUCCGCAAUGGACGAAAGUCUGACGGAGCAACGCCGCGUUAGUGAAGACGGCCUUCGGGUUGUAAAGCUCUGUUAUCCGGGACGAAAGAGCCUGAGGUAAAUAGCCUAAGGAAGUGACGGUACCGGAAAAGCAAGCCACGGCUAACUACGUGCCAGCAGCCGCUGUAAUACGUAGGUGGCAAGCGUUGUCCGGAAUUAUUGGGCGUAAAGCGCGCGCAGGCGGCUUCCUAAGUUCAUCUUAAAAGUGCGGGGCUUAACCCCGUGAUGGGAUGGAAACUGGGAAGCUGGAGUAUCGGAGAGGAAAGUGGAAUUCCUAGUGUAGCGGUGAAAUGCGUAGAGAUUAGGAAGAACACCGGGGGCGAAGGCGACUUUCUGGACGAAAACUGACGCUGAGGCGCGAAAGCGUGGGGAGCAAACAGG